UCGAAAUAUUGCUCAAAAUUUGAUAGCUUAAAUCAUUCAUAUUUACAUUUUAAUAGUCACGGUGGUAUUUCUGUAAUAUUGCUUAAAUUAUAAGUCAUCAUAUGUCAGACUCGUUGAAAUAUUGUCACAAGAGUUAAAUCCCUAAGCUUAAUUUCUCCUUUUAUCAGUACCACAAAGCCUCCAUUUUUUCACCACUUGUCGGCAACAAAAAUUUCAACGACGCAAACAUUCAAAGCUCUGAAUUCAAAUCUAUUCAAAAUGUCAUCACUGAAUCUGAUUCCACCUCUGUCACAACGAUUUUUUUGCUGCCGAUUAUGUUGCAAUGUCGCCAUCAGAUGUGUUGCAUGACGCUCGUCGAGGAUUUUAACCGCCACCACUGACGAUGGUCACAACACUACCGGCGACCGGCAAGGCUAGAUCCACGUGCACUGCAGCUUGGGCGGCCAGAUCUACAAGAUUCGGUGAGCGACAGAGUUAGAUCUACGAGAUUUGACGGUAUUGUUGCAACCUCUGUGCCUUACUCAUUUCACAAAAUGUCACUCCUCUUCUUCACAACAGAAUGAUGAUUGCGACCAUAACAAAUGUGGUUGGUGGUGGCGUAUGGUAGUUGGUGGUGGUAGAGUUUGAAUUUAACUUCUUUAAAUAUGUGAAUUAGUAUAUAAUAGAUUGUAUUAUGUUAUGUUGUGAAUUUUAUAUAUUAAACUAUAAAUUGAUUGUAUUAAAUUGUAUAAUUUAUAUAAAUUUUGUGUUAAAAUAUGAAUAAA